rnacentral:rRNA from 1 species
UACGUAGGUGGCAAGCGUUGUUCGGAAUUACUGGGCGUAAAGCGUGCGUAGUCGGUUAUUUAAGUCGGGCGUGAAAGCCCCGGGCUCAACCUGGGAAUUGCGUUCGAUACUGGAUAGCUAGAGUUCGGCAGAGGGAAGCGGAAUUUCGGGUGUAGCGGUGAAAUGCGUAGAUAUCCGAAGGAACAUCAGUGGCGAAAGCGGCUUCCUGGACCAGAACUGACGAUCAGGCACGAAAGCGUGGGGAGCAAACAGG